rnacentral:rRNA from 1 species
AUGAACGCUAGCUACAGGCUUAACACAUGCAAGUCGAGGGGCAGCAUGAACUUAGCUUGCUAAGUUUGAUGGCGACCGGCGCACGGGUGAGUAACACGUAUCCAACCUGCCGAUGACUCGGGGAUAGCCUUUCGAAAGAAAGAUUAAUACCCGAUGGCAUAGUUCUUCCGCAUGGUAGAACUAUUAAAGAAUUUCGGUCAUCGAUGGGGAUGCGUUCCAUUAGGUUGUUGGCGGGGUAACGGCCCACCAAGCCUUCGAUGGAUAGGGGUUCUGAGAGGAAGGUCCCCCACAUUGGAACUGAGACACGGUCCAAACUCCUACGGGAGGCAGCAGUGAGGAAUAUUGGUCAAUGGACGAGAGUCUGAACCAGCCAAGUAGCGUGAAGGAUGACUGCCCUAUGGGUUGUAAACUUCUUUUAUACGGGAAUAAAGUGAGGCACGUGUGCCUUUUUGUAUGUACCGUAUGAAUAAGGAUCGGCUAACUCCGUGCCAGCAGCCGCGGUAAUACGGAGGAUCCGAGCGUUAUCCGGAUUUAUUGGGUUUAAAGGGAGCGUAGGCGGACGCUUAAGUCAGUUGUGAAAGUUUGCGGCUCAACCGUAAAAUUGCAGUUGAUACUGGGUGUCUUGAGUACAGUAGAGGCAGGCGGAAUUCGUGGUGUAGCGGUGAAAUGCUUAGAUAUCACGAAGAACUCCGAUUGCGAAGGCAGCUUGCUGGACUGUAACUGACGCUGAUGCUCGAAAGUGUGGGUAUCAAACAGGAUUAGAUACCCUGGUAGUCCACACAGUAAACGAUGAAUACUCGCUGUUUGCGAUAUACAGUAAGCGGCCAAGCGAAAGCGUUAAGUAUUCCACCUGGGGAGUACGCCGGCAACGGUGAAACUCAAAGGAAUUGACGGGGGCCCGCACAAGCGGAGGAACAUGUGGUUUAAUUCGAUGAUACGCGAGGAACCUUACCCGGGCUUGAAUUGCAACUGAAUGAUGUGGAGACAUGUCAGCCGCAAGGCAGUUGUGAAGGUGCUGCAUGGUUGUCGUCAGCUCGUGCCGUGAGGUGUCGGCUUAAGUGCCAUAACGAGCGCAACCCUUAUCGAUAGUUACCAUCAGGUUAUGCUGGGGACUCUGUCGAGACUGCCGUCGUAAGAUGUGAGGAAGGUGGGGAUGACGUCAAAUCAGCACGGCCCUUACGUCCGGGGCUACACACGUGUUACAAUGGGGGGUACAGAGGGCCGCUACCACGCGAGUGGAUGCCAAUCCCUAAAACCCCUCUCAGUUCGGACUGGAGUCUGCAACCCGACUCCACGAAGCUGGAUUCGCUAGUAAUCGCGCAUCAGCCACGGCGCGGUGAAUACGUUCCCGGGCCUUGUACACACCGCCCGUCAAGCCAUGGGAGCCGGGGGUACCUGAAGUGCGUAACCGCGAGGAUCGCCCUAGGGUAAAACUGGUGAUUGGGGCU